rnacentral:rRNA from 1 species
CACAAGCGGAGGAACAUGUGGUUUAAUUCGAUGAUACGCGAGGAACCUUACCAGGUCUUGACAUCCCGAUGCUAUUUCUAGAGAUAGAAGUUACUUCGGUACAUCGGUGACAGGUGGUGCAUGGUUGUCGUCAGCUCGUGUCGUGAGAUGUUGGGUUAAGUCCCGCAACGAGCGCAACCCCUAUUGUUAGUUGCCAUCAUUCAGUUGGGCACCCUAGCGAGACUGCCGGUAAUAAACCGGAGGAAGUGGGGAUGACGUCAAAUCAUCAUGCCCCUUAUGACCUGGGCUACACACGUGCUACAAUGGUUGGUACAACGAGUUGCGAGUCGGUGACGGCGAGCUAAUCUCUUAAAGCCAAUCUCAGUUCGGAUUGUAGGCUGCAACUCGCCUACAUGAAGUCGGAAUCGCUAGUAAUCGCGGAUCAGCACGCCGCGGUGAAUACGUUCCCGGGCCUU